AUUGAACGCUGGCGGCAGGCUUAACACAUGCAAGUCGAGCGGAGAGAGGUAGCUUGCUACCGAUCUUAGCGGCGGACGGGUGAGUAAUGCUUAGGAAUCUGCCUAUUAGUGGGGGACAACAUUUCGAAAGGAAUGCUAAUACCGCAUACGUCCUACGAGAGAAAGCAGGGGAUCUUCGGACCUUGCGCUAAUAGAUGAGCCUAAGUCGGAUUAGCUAGUUGGUGGGGUAAAGGCCUACCAAGGCGACGAUCUGUAGCGGGUCUGAGAGGAUGAUCCGCCACACUGGGACUGAGACACGGCCCAGACUCCUACGGGAGGCAGCAGUGGGGAAUAUUGGACAAUGGGCGCAAGCCUGAUCCAGCCGUGCCGCGUGUGUGAAGAAGGCCUUAUGGUUGUAAAGCACUUUAAGCGAGGAGGAGGCUACUUUAGUUAAUACCUAGAGAUAGUGGACGUUACUCGCAGAAUAAGCACCGGCUAACUCUGUGCCAGCCGCCGCAGUAAUAC
rnacentral:rRNA from 1 species